rnacentral:rRNA from 1 species
UUGUCUCAAAGAUUAAGCCAUGCAUGUCUCAGUACAAGCCAAACUAAGGUGAAACCGCGAAAGGCUCAUUAAAUCAGUUAUGGUUCCUUAGAUCGUACCCAAAUUUACUUGGAUAACUGUGGUAAUUCUAGAGCUAAUACAUGCAAACAGAGCUCCGACCGGAGACGGAAGGAGUGCUUUUAUUAGAUCAAAACCAAUCGGUGGCGGGUCCGCCCGUCAUCGCACAACUUGGUGACUCUGAAUAACUUUACGCUGAUCGCACGGUCUCGCACCGGCGACGCAUCUUUCAAAUGUCUGCCUUAUCAACUGUCGAUGGUAGGUUCUGCGCCUACCAUGGUUGUAACGGGUAACGGGGAAUCAGGGUUCGAUUCCGGAGAGGGAGCCUGAGAAACGGCUACCACAUCCAAGGAAGGCAGCAGGCGCGCAAAUUACCCACUCCCGGCACGGGGAGGUAGUGACGAAAAAUAACGAUACGGGACUCAUCCGAGGCCCCGUAAUCGGAAUGAGUACACUCUAAACCCUUUAACGAGGAUCAAUUGGAGGGCAAGUCUGGUGCCAGCAGCCGCGGUAAUUCCAGCUCCAAUAGCGUAUAUUAAAGUUGUUGCGGUUAAAAAGCUCGUAGUCGAAUCUGUGUCUCGCGCCGCCGGUUCAUCGUCCGCGGUGUUAACUGGCGUGUCGCGAGACGUAUUGCCGGUGGGCUUAGCCCGCAAGGGCGGCCCAAACAAUCCCGCCGCGGUGCUCUUCACUGAGUGUCGAGGUAGGCCGGCACGUUUACUUUGAACAAACUAGAGUGCUUAAAGCAGGCUAGAACUUUGCCUGAAUAUGUGUGCAUGGAAUAAUGGAAUAGGACCUCGGUUCUAUUUUGUUGGUUUUCGGAACCCCGAGGUAAUGAUUAAUAGGAACGGAUGGGGGCAUUCGUAUUGCGACGUUAGAGGUGAAAUUCUUGGACCGUCGCAAGACGAACAGAAGCGAAAGCAUUUGCCAAAAACGCUUUCAUUGAUCAAGAACGAAAGUCAGAGGUUCGAAGGCGAUCAGAUACCGCCCUAGUUCUGACCAUAAACCAUGCCAGCUAGCGAUCCGCCGACGUUCCUCCGAUGACUCGGCGGGCAGCUUCCGGGAAACCAAAGCUAUUGGGUUCCGGGGGAAGUAUGGUUGCAAAGCUGAAACUUAAAGGAAUUGACGGAAGGGCACCACCAGGAGUGGAGCCUGCGGCUUAAUUUGACUCAACACGGGAAACCUCACCAGGCCCGGACACCGGAAGGAUUGACAGAUUGAGAGCUCUUUCUUGAUUCGGUGGGUGGUGGUGCAUGGCCGUUCUUAGUUGGUGGAGCGAUUUGUCUGGUUAAUUCCGAUAACGAACGAGACUCUAGCCUGCUAACUAGGCGUAUUUCGACAUCCCAAAGGCCCGGCGGCCCGGGGCUCGCCCCGGCGUCGCGUGCGGUUUUUNCNGU